rnacentral:rRNA from 1 species
ACGCUGGCGGCACGCCUAACACAUGCAAGUCGAACGAAGUAGAAAUACUUAGUGGCAGACGGGUGAGUAACAUGUAGGUAUCUUCCCUUUGGCCUGGAAUAACACGAGGAAACUUGUGCUAAUACUGGAUAAGUCUUUACAGAGAAAGCUUUAUGCACCAUUGGAUGAGCCUGCACUUGAUUAGUUUGUUGGUGGGGUAACGGCCUACCAAGACUUUGAUCAAUAGCUGAUUUGAGAGGAUGAUCAGCCACAUUGGGACUGAGACACGGCCCAAACUCCUACGGGAGGCAGCAGUGGGGAAUCUUGCACAAUGGAGGAAACUCUGAUGCAGCGAUGCCGCGUGAGUGAAGAAGGCCCUUGGGUUGUAAAGCUCUUUCGUCGGGGAAGAAAAUGACUGUACCCGAAUAAGAAGGUCCGGCUAACUUCGUGCCAGCAGCCGCGGUAAUACGAAGGGACCUAGCGUAGUUCGGAAUUACUGGGCUUAAAGAGUUCGUAGGUGGUUGAAAAAGUUGGUGGUGAAAUCCCAGAGCUUAACUCUGGAACUGCCAUCAAAACUUUUCAGCUAGAGUUUGAUAGAGGAAAGCAGAAUUUCUAGUGUAGAGGUGAAAUUCGUAGAUAUUAGAAAGAAUACCAAUUGCGAAGGCAGCUUUCUGGAUCAUUACUGACACUGAGGAACGAAAGCAUGGGUAGCGAAGAGGAUUAGAUACCCUCGUAGUCCAUGCCGUAAACGAUGUGUGUUAGACGUUGGAAAUUUAUUUUCAGUGUCGCAGCGAAAGCGAUAAACACACCGCCUGGGGAGUACG